UUUUCCCCCAGGCGAGAACAUACAUUUCAGUAGUUCUCCGGCUCCCUGUGAGGGAAAUAGCGUCCCGUUCAACCUCCCCCUGGGGGGCGAUACACGUUCCCCCCAAAAAUGGGGAAUGGAAUGAACAAGGUUUUACCGGGUCUUUACGUGGGAAAUUAUCGCGAUUCCAAGGAUUCGUCCCAACUAGCUAAACACAACAUCACCCAUAUUCUUGCCAUCCAUGAUACUGCUCGAAGAAUACAUUCGGAUAAACACUAUCUCUGCGUAAUGGCCUCGGAUACUCCAGAUCAGAACCUGACUCAGUAUUUUUCCCUUUGUAACGACUUCAUUCAUGCCGCCCGUCUGCGAGAUGGAAACGUCCUUAUUCACUGUCUUGCUGGUAUGUCCCGAAGUGUAACAGUGGCUGUGGCUUAUAUAAUGUCCGUUACCACUUUGAACUGGAAAGAUGCCCUCAAGGUGGUGCGAGCUGGCAGAAAUGUGGCCAAUCCCAAUCUGGGCUUCCUCAAACAGCUGGAGGAGUUUGAGUGCACGCGGCUGAUUGAGGAACGUCGAAGAUUGAAGGAACGCUACCCCAGUUUGGCGUUGGUUUACAAGGACCAGGAGCAGUGCGCUCUCAUGCUCAACAACUACGAAGAACUCUUGCAAUCAAGAAGCAUUUGUGAGGGAAAUUGUGCCUUAGGAGAGACGUGCCCCAGUGGGUUGUGCAGAGCUUGACAUGUCUUCAGGUCCGCAUCCCAAAGGAAACCGCGCACCCGAACCAAUCAAAGAUCUCAGUCAGAAAUGCACCGAAGUCCGAGCUCUAGCAGUACCAGAAGCAGCACUUGCAGUACUGGCGGCCGGCCCCGAUCCGGCCCUGCGGGUCUUCGAAGUUUGGCUUCAGCUCCACCAUCACGAUCAGGCAGCCGAGUCGACUUGUCCUCCAGUGGGAUGAACUUAACAGCUCCAUCCACUCCCCAAUGCAGCCCUCCGGUCUCUCCUUUGAGGAGGAGAGGCACUCAAGGCCGGGUCCAGGUUCCUUUAGCUCUUAAAGAAGACGAUUUUGACGAAUUAUAGCGGCAAUUUGAUCAUCUGCUGAGGCGACAAUCUCAUCGAAUUGAACAGAAUUAGAAAUAUGGAAGAAACAAUGAGCAAUAUAUUGUGUAUGCGACUUUAGGUCGCAGGUCUGGAUACUAGGUUGUGAAGGAAUGAGAAUCAUUGCGCAAUCAAAGAUACAUAUUUCACUUACGGUUAGAGCUCAAAAAACAUGUUUGCAAUAAAUAGUUCUUUGUAGGAAGGUUUGUGAGUAACUCCUCUGUCCAUUGCGUUUAGUUGUCUGCCCAUUAAGGAUAGAAGUUACUGUAGGCGAUUUAGUUAUCAUAUCAACUUCGGAACUAGGUAUAACUGUGAUAGGAGCUGUGCUAGUUGAAGAGUUUGAUAUUGAUUUUUUGCUUGCGUGUCCUUUUUCCUUUCAAGAUCGAAUUGAUGUGAGUUCUUUGGCAGGUUUGCGGGAAAUUGAUAAAAAAGUUGUGAUUUUCGAAAGCUAUUUUAAAAAUUAAGCGAUAUUUGACAAGUCCAUUUUUAUACGAGAACAAGGGCCGUUUUCCGCAGUUAAAUUCGGCCAUGAUCUUCGAGAGUUUUAUAUGGCUUUUGACUUAUGUAGGUGGUAGAUAGAUCGCAUUAAACAACAAAUAUUCAAUUAUAACGAAUAGAGGCAAUAUUUUUAGUGAUAACGCAACAUUGUUAGAGUUUAUAUUGUUAAAGCGAUUUUAAAAAUACAUUUUAGCAAUAACAUAUCAACUAUAUAUUUACACUUUUUAAAACGUCGCGCUCUAAUUAUAUAAUAGGGGUUUGAUGUGGUUUUAUUUGGAAAACAUUCUCAUAAUGGAGGUUUUGAUUUACCCAGUAGAGCACUAGCAAGUUUGUUGAAAAGUGGGCUUUUAUAAGUGAAAGUUACUUGGCUGAUUAAACCGAUUCAUUGCUUCGUAUGAUCAGUAAUCAAGAAUUGGCGAGUUUUUUCAGCGGGUACACUUAAAUAUAACAAUGCUUACUAGGUGAUACGCAAAUGCGCGAAAAACUGUAGCAGUUACUACUAUAGAAUUAUCUUUAGGGUGGAAAGUGGAAAAAGUGGCCACUUCAAGCACAAUUUUUACUUAGUGUUUUACUCACUAUAAUUGACACUUUGCUAUGUUGAUUGCUGAAUUGAAAGUUUUUAUUCCAUUUGUGUGUUUCUCCCAUUUUUGGACCAAAAGAGUUGUGCUACCUUAAAACGAUUAUAGCGCUGUGGAAGUCUGGUACCUAUCGAAAACAGUUGUCCCGAAACGGUCCAUAUUUAAAGAGUUAUAUGAAGAAAAAUAUAUAGCGUUGUUAAAAGUAGUUUGUUAAGAAAUGUAUAAUUUUCAACACAUUGAAGAGAUAUCUGAAUAUAUUGCUUUUAAAAUAUAUGAAA